rnacentral:rRNA from 1 species
CAAUAGCGUAUAUUAAAGUUGUUGCAGUUAAAAAGCUCGUAGUUGGAUUUCCGGCGUGAGGGAUCAGUCUGACUUCUAGUCAGUACUUGGUCCUCUCAUGCCGUCCUUGAAUGGUGCAUCCUGGCAUUAAGUUGUCGGGGUGAGAGCCGUUCAUCGUUUACUGUGAGAAAAUUAGAGUGUUCAAAGCAGGCUUUUGCUGUGAAUACAUUAGCAUGGAAUAAUAAUCUAGGACUUCGGUUUAUUUUGUUUGGUUUCUUAACACUGAAGUAAUGAUUGAUAGGGAUAGUUGGGGGUUGGCUAGUAUUGGUCCGGCCGAGAGGUGGAAAUUACUUGGAUUCGGUCAAGACUAACUUAUUGCGAAAGCAUUCACCAAGGAUGUCUUCUUUAAUCAAGAACGAAAGUUGGGGGAUCGAAGAUGAUCAGAUACCAU